UACGUAGGGCGCAAGCGUUGUCCGGAAUUAUUGGGCGUAAAGAGCUCGUAGGCGGCUUGUCACGUCGGGUGUGAAAGCCCGGGGCUUAACCCCGGGUCUGCAUUCGAUACGGGCUAGCUAGAGUGUGGUAGGGGAGAUCGGAAUUCCUGGUGUAGCGGUGAAAUGCGCAGAUAUCAGGAGGAACACCGGUGGCGAAGGCGGUUCUCUGGGCCUUACCUGACGCUGAGACGCGAAAGCGUGGGGAGCAAACAGG
rnacentral:rRNA from 1 species